rnacentral:rRNA from 1 species
GAAUAUUGGUCAAUGGGGGGAACCCUGAACCAGCCAUGCCGCGUGUGUGAAGAAGGCCUGUUGGUCGUAAAGCAAUUUACGCGAGGAGGCGACGCUCUUGGUGAAUACCCAAAAUGCCAGGACGUUACUCGCCGCAUAAGCACCGGCCACACCUGUACCAGCAGCCGCGGUAAUACAGAGGGCGCAAUCGUUAAUUGGAUUCACUGGGCGUAAAGCGCGCGUAGGUGGCCAAUUAAGUAAAAUGUGAAAUCCCCGAGCUUAACUUGGGAAUGGCAUUCGAUACUGGUUGGCUAGAGUAUGGGAGAGGAUGGUAGAAUUCCAGGUGUAGCGGUGAAAUGCGUAGAGAUCUGGAGGAAUACCGAUGGCGAAGGCAGCCAUCUGGCCUAAUACUGACACUGAGGUGCGAAAGCAUGGGGAGCAAACG